CUUGCUCCUGGAUUCAGCGGCGGACGGGUGAGUAAUGCCUAGGAAUCUGCCUGGUAGUGGGGGACAACGUUUCGAAAGGAACGCUAAUACCGCAUACGUCCUACGGGAGAAAGCAGGGGACCUUCGGGCCUUGCGCUAUCAGAUGAGCCUAGGUCGGAUUAGCUAGUUGGUGAGGUAAUGGCUCACCAAGGCGACGAUCCGUAACUGGUCUGAGAGGAUGAUCAGUCACACUGGAACUGAGACACGGUCCAGACUCCUACGGGAGGCAGCAGUGGGGAAUAUUGGACAAUGGGCGAAAGCCUGAUCCAGCCAUGCCGCGUGUGUGAAGAAGGUCUUCGGAUUGUAAAGCACUUUAAGUUGGGAGGAAGGGUUGUAGAUUAAUACUCUGCAAUUUUGACGUUACCGACAGAAUAAGCACCGGCUAACUCUGUGCCAGCAGCCGCGGUAAUACAGAGGGUGCAAGCGUUAAUCGGAAUUACUGGGCGUAAAGCGCGCGUAGGUGGUUUGUUAAGUUGGAUGUGAAAUCCCCGGGCUCAACCUGGGAACUGCAUCCAAAACUGGCAAGCUAGAGUAUGGUAGAGGGUGGUGGAAUUUCCUGUGUAGCGGUGAAAUGCGUAGAUAUAGGAAGGAACACCAGUGGCGAAGGCGACCACCUGGACUGAUACUGACACUGAGGUGCGAAAGCGUGGGGAGCAAACARGAUUAGAUACCCUGGUAGUCCACGCCGUAAACGAUGUCAACUAGCCGUUGGGAGCCUUGAGCUCUUAGUGGCGCAGCUAACGCAUUAAGUUGACCGCCUGGGGAGUACGGCCGCAAGGUUAAAACUCAAAUGAAUUGACGGGGGCCCGCACAAGCGGUGGAGCAUGUGGUUUAAUUCGAAGCAACGCGAAGAACCUUACCAGGCCUUGACAUCCAAUGAACUUUCCAGAGAUGGAUUGGUGCCUUCGGGAACAUUGAGACAGGUGCUGCAUGGCUGUCGUCAGCUCGUGUCGUGAGAUGUUGGGUUAAGUCCCGUAACGAGCGCAACCCUUGUCCUUAGUUACCAGCACGUAAUGGUGGGCACUCUAAGGAGACUGCCGGUGACAAACCGGAGGAAGGUGGGGAUGACGUCAAGUCAUCAUGGCCCUUACGGCCUGGGCUACACACGUGCUACAAUGGUCGGUACAGAGGGUUGCCAAGCCGCGAGGUGGAGCUAAUCCCACAAAACCGAUCGUAGUCCGGAUCGCAGUCUGCAACUCGACUGCGUGAAGUCGGAAUCGCUAGUAAUCGCGAAUCAGAAUGUCGCGGUGAAUACGUUCCCGGGCCUUGUACACACCGCCCGUCACACCAUGGGAGUGGGUUGCACCAGAAGUAGCUAGUCUAAC
rnacentral:rRNA from 1 species